GCGUUCAUAAAAUCGAGCUGCUACGGUAGCGCGAGAGAGACUUCUUUAAAAUAGACUUGCUAUAAUCCACUUGAGUUACCACCGUUCUUCGCACGCGCCAAUUUGUAGUUUGCUUUGCCUAGCGUCGCUACCGAUGGGAGUGUAAUUUGGCUACCGAAAGAGGCUAUCGACCUUAUCAAGAGUUCACGAACCCUUGCAUCCUUCGGUGAAGAGUCUGUUUCACUCUGAUGGCUGGCAAGAGACAGGCUGGCACACUUGAAGCCACCCGUAGAAAUGAGAUGCUGUUAUGCAGCUGGGGAAACUCGGGACUGUUAAUGCGAAUUCGAGAAUGUCGCUAUUGUCCACUUCGUGGAAAAUACGUCAUAUCCGCUAACGAAGACCUUCAAACCGCGGUUAAUCUGAGGAUUUCCAAAGCCCAAUAAACCACUUUGAACUAAUCAGUGGAAGAGGCAAGAGUGGUUCGUCAUUUGUUCGCGCCGUGAUGUGUUCAGCGUGAAUAGCAAUUGAUAGUGAAACCCAAAUUAGCUUGGCGAUUCUUGUGUGCGCACCGAAGAAGAUUUUAAGGUUCGUGGCAGCCGUCGAACGUCCAAAGCAUCACAUCUCCUCGUUGGUAACCACUCUUGACCCCACGGUUCGUCUCAAGGUUGGUCCCGGUGGUACACGUGGCCGGAAGAAGGCAGCAUCCGUCAAACCGCGCCUUGGCAGGACCAUUCGACUACCGAAACGCAGUACCAGCACACCCAGUACAUUUUCCGGUGACGACCGGGAGAUUUGGCGGCACUACCCCGCCAGCAGUCCACGAAUCGGCGGUGAAGAUUAUCGUCGUACAUUAGGCGCGAUCAGGAGUCAUCGCACGUCGCAUCAGCAGCAGCAGCAGUAGAAGGAAUCGCCGUCUCCCGCCCAACAUCGUCACGUAAAACCUAGGUCGUGAGUAGAGUGUUUUUAUGUUUGUGAUGUCCAUGCGCAUGGGGUCACCAUAGACGGCCGUACCCUACCGUCCAGUUUUGCCAUCCGUGGCUCGCCCAUAUAGAUUGCCGUUCAAUUAGCACAGCACUGAACAAAGCACACCUCGAGAGGACGCACAAUGGGUAGUAUUGCGUCGCACUAGAUAGGAGAGAGGAUGAUUGAAGGGAAGGGAAAACUGCCUAGCUAGGUCUAAAGGAAUCGCAGAAUGAGGAAAGUGAAGAAAUAGAAAUAAACGUAUUGAUGUAGCGAAAAUGUGCUGUUUGCGAUAUAGCAGAAAAUGUAUCCCGUAGGGUAAAUGUACUGAUUGUCGUCUUGGUGAAGUUUUUCAGUUCUAGUUAAAUCGUGUCGUGUUAGUUUUUUUGGUUGUUUGUUCUUUUACUGGGGAGGUUGGCCCCGAUACCAUCCGGAAUCACUCUCUAGUCGAACUCUGGUUGAUCGAAUUGGCGGUUUGGACUUUGCCAGUGAUGAUAACAACCCGCGAGUGUAAUCUUCGUUUCGGAAUAAAUUCGCAUUAGCCGUUUCGGAUUAUCUUUGGCUCGUAUAGCACGCGGAUCAUCGACGCGGACGGACUGUGUCUCCAGCUAACUUGCUUCCUUCCUAAAGAGAGGAAAACCAGAACCUUCUCCCGAGGGGUCUCACUAGGCCGGGCAGCUCUAUAACAGGUGGGUGGUCUCUCAACUGAGAGUGGCGCAUAAACCACCCACUUACCUACCUCGGAAGCUCGUUAGGCUGGCCAGUUACAUUGGCGCCCAACAAUACCAGGCUUUUAGUUUCGUUGCAGCCAAGUCACAUUGGCACCCAACAAAACUAGGUUUUUUUUUAGUUUUCUUACCAAUUUCGAUUGAUGUUCAAAGAAAACGAAAAUUUCUGUGCAAUACAGGUUGGCGAAGAAAGAAGUUUUUUUGUGUGGUAACUUUUCCUCUGAAAAGGGGACUUUUCUCAAUUGUACAUAUCAUUUCCAUUAUUUAGUUAAUCCGUAUUAUAUAUUUGUUAUUUGCAUGUUAAUUUAUUUUUUCCAAUCAUUACAUUAUAUUUUCUUUGUUAUUUAUUGGUUAUCCUAAUAUAAUCUAAGCUUUUUCGCAUUUAUAAUUACAUUAUACGUACGCCUACAUCACCUUAUUACUUGCUAUAACGGGGUGAAUGCUACAAAAUGAAUCGACUUUUCCCACACGCGGAAGAUCUCAAUCAAGAAGAAGUUGACUAUGAAUUAAUGAUUCGUGGGCAACCAGAAGAGGUAUUUAAACUUGACUUACCAGGGAAACAAAGGCAGCUAAGAAGUUUGUUCAGGGAAGAUCAACAGGAAAGUCGAAACUAUCGGUCAUCUCUGAAUAUCAGGGACGAGGGCCCGUAUAUAGAAGGAAGAAUCGUGAAUUUAGAGAAGGCAUUGUCGAGAAAGGUGGAACCGAAAUUAGAAUCUAGAGUACUGCAUUACUGGUAUCGGGUGAAACGGUGUUUGGCUUCCAGUGAAGAAGAAAAGAAAGAGAGGAGGGAGCUAACACGACGAAUUGAGAAGGUUAUGGUAGAUUUUCAGUUUGGACCACCGCUGUCCCCGUAUAAGGACCAAAUUAACAACAUUA